AGUUUAAAUAUUACGUAGUUUGUGAAGCCUUUUGCAAUUCUCCCAAUCAGAAUAAACCAGCCUCUAAUCCAUGGACUCAGAAUGAAUGAAUGGUCUACUGCCACCCUUGUCACAGGGGACCAAGCAACCUUGGAGAAUCCACCUGCAACAUUCCUCAGAGAAGCUGCAACAUUACUUUAAAAGAAGUUACAGCAGUGCAUACUAUUGUUGCUUUCCUACAAUGUAGCAAACAGAAACUUUGGUUCCAGAAUGUUCCUGAAUAUAACACAGUAAAAUUUCUUGAUAGGAGUGCUUCACAAAAGAUGUCAUUGAAGAUACCCAGUUUGGAAGUUAAGGCAUUGGCUCUGACAUUACUUUUGCCCCAUCUAAGCUUAGUUUGGUAGAGUCAUAUAUAGGGCAGGAUCUAGCUAAUAAUUGUCCUUAACUCAAAAGCAUAAUCUUAUUUCAGGUAGAAAGCCACACUAACUUAAUUGCCAACCAGAUAAAUGGUGAUCACUUGAAAUCUGUUUUAUACUUAUAAAUAAAUCUUGAAAUAUUAAUUAUCCGUGCUUAAAAGA
rnacentral:lncRNA from 10 species